rnacentral:misc_RNA from 1 species
AUGUUGAGUGACGGUAAUGCCCUUUUAUCUAUAACAUAAUGUCGAAAUUAGCCUUCUGUUCCGUACAUCUUCUUCUUCGUCACUUCUUCCUCCUCCUCUUCUCUGUCACUGCUACUUCACCGCCACAGGUCUCUAUCGCAGUUGGACCUCCACGGCCACGGCAGCCGCAAAUCACCACCGUAUGCCGAGAAAAAUAAUCGUGCCUCGUGUCAUUAUUCAGCCUAUGCGGAACUCCGACAAUGUCAUCCAAUAAUGUACAUAGUCCUUCAUAUCUUCCGUUCUGUGUCUCGAAAUGGCUGAUAGAUUGAUAAACCGCUUCGUCCACGAUUUAUAUUACACAAAUUGGAUCAAGAGACGAGAAACAUACCAAAGGUUUGUCUAUGGAUUUUUGAGUCGGUUUCAAUCACAAAGAUCAAAACCAGAGAAGUAAGAAGCAGAUUCACUGGAAGAAGCAAAGAAUGCAGCCCAGGCUUCUUCAAGGCCUAAACUUGAGAAAAAGACAGGCUAUAAGUCUGGACUUGGCAAAUGCAUUGCUGGUGAAUGGUGAUGAUCUGAGUGACAAUAAGUGGUGGUUGGAGCUUACUGGGCAUACGAAAGCUCUUGAACCAGCUCUGCAAUUAUUUAAGUGAGCUCUGCUGACUGGUUUGGUGAUAUUUAAUUGUGCUUCUCCUAAAAAUACAGCUCUUCUUUGCUUCAGAAAUGGUUUUGGCAUGGUAGCGUUGCUGUAAAUGAACUCAGUCUUGUUUAAAAGUUGAUACUUUGCAUGUAUACAUCUCUGUCCCUGUUGACCUGCGUCAUUUGAAGUUUUAAUCCAUACAUUUUGCUUAGAAUUGUCAAUCCUACCUGCCAUUUCAUCUUUUUGAUUCAGGGUAUGGCUGAAGACAGUUUAUUAUACAUUAUUUCGUAUUGCCACUUUCAGUACUAAUAUCAUUAGAGUUUUCCAGUGUUCUGUAAAUCACUGCCUCAUACAGUUUUCAAGCUUGCCUUAUGAUCAUGGAGGGUUAUUGGAUGUUCCAAUUUGCAGGGAAUGGACUUAGAAACAAAACCCCUCCUGGUGGUUGAUCUCUUACAGAGAUCAUUGCAAGCAUUCAGCAGAGCAAGAAUGGGAUUGAGGGUUGGAGCUUGAGUGAUCUUACAAUUGGCCUAUAUCUUAUUUAUCUUUGACAGUCAUCCUUAAUUCCAAUCGAGGAUUUUAAGGGUGUUCAAGUCUCUUCAGAAUUAAUAGAAUUUACAUAACCUUCUAGUACUGAAGAAAAUAAUUGCAUCUUCAUCUGAUCCUUAAGACAAAGAAUAUUGUGUAUUUAAUAUUUAUUUAGGUUCAAAUGAAUUAGGUUAUAUGCAAAUUAUUUGUAUCACUAUUACAUUUUCUUUUUCUUUUACUAAAUUGCUGAAUUUUGCCUCUCUCCAUUGCCAAAUGCUGUUUGAUGUCCUUUAAAGAUGGUUCCAUCAGAAAGCAAUCACCAACCUCAGGAUCCACUUCAACUUCCAAAGCUACAAUAGACAAUUAUUCUGUCCUCAAAAAGGAAGGAGCAGCUUGUACAGUGCUUUAGGAGUUGUUAGUUCCAGGUACUGUUUACCAUAUGAAGAGGAACAUUGACACUCAUGCUUACAGUAGAAAUGGAAGAGGGGUGGAAUUUUGCACAAUGUGGAAGAGUCCUGCAGAUGAACAUUUCCAGAGGAUAGUCACUACACUCUACCAGAUGUACGCAAAGCUUAGACAGGGACCGCUGAUGGAGGUAUUUUUUAGAUGACUAAAAACCAAUAAUCUCAUCAAUUUUCCCUAUAAGAUGUUAAGUAUUUUGUAAAUGUUAAUUUUGUUUCUACAAUAUCAGCAUAUAACUUUGAAGCAAUUUUGUGAAUUCUUGCAGAAAUAUGUGCAGUAUUUUGCCAAUACGAGAUCUUUUACUCUUGUAGUUGA